rnacentral:rRNA from 2 species
ACGAACGACCACAGAUACGUGAAAGCUAGGCAUCCCGUCCGCUCUGCCAUAUAUAAGCACGUAAUCGCUGGAUUAGUACUACGGUGGGUGACCACGUGGGAAUCCCCAGUGUUGUUCGUU